rnacentral:misc_RNA from 1 species
GAUGAAGAACGCAGCGAAAUGCGAUAAGUAAUGUGAAUUGCAGAAUUCAGUGAAUCAUCGAAUCUUUGAACGCACAUUGCGCCCCUUGGUAUUCCGGGGGGUAUGCCUGUUCGAGCGUCAUUUCAACCCUCAAGCUCAGCUUGGUAUUGAGUCCAUGUCAGUAAUGGCAGGCUCUAAAAUCAAUGGCGGCGCCGCUGGGUCCUGAACGUAGUAAUAUCUCUCGUUACAGGUUCUCGGUGUGCUUCUGCCAAAACCCAAAUUUUCUAUGGUUGACCUCGGAUCAGGUAGGGAUACCCGCUGAACUUAAGCAUAUCAAUAAGCGGAGGA